AGCGAACAGAUGAGGAGCUUGCUCCUCUGACGUUAGCGGCGGGCGGGUGAGUAACACGUGGAUAACCUACCUAUAAGACUGGGAUAACUCCGGGAAACCGGAGCUAAUACCGGAUAAUAUAUUGAACCGCAUGGUUCAAUAGUGAAAGACAGUUUUGCUGUCACUUAUAGAUGGAUCCGCGCCGCAUUAGCUAGUUGGUAAGGUAACGGCUUACCAAGGCAACGAUGCGUAGCCGACCUGAGAGGGUGAUCGGCCACACUGGAACUGAGACACGGUCCAGACUCCUACGGGAGGCAGCAGUAGGGAAUCUUCCGCAAUGGGCGAAAGCCUGACGGAGCAACGCCGCCGUGAGUGAUGAAGGUCUUCGGAUCGUAAAACUCUGUUAUUAGGGAAGAACAAAUGUGUAAGUAACUAUGCACGUCUUGACGGUACCUAAUCAGAAAGCCACGGCUAACUACGUGCCAGCAGCCGCGGUAAUACGUAGGUGGCAAGCGUUAUCCGGAAUUAUUGGGCGUAAAGCGCGCGUAGGCGGUUUUUUAAGUCUGAUGUGAAAGCCCACGGCUCAACCGUGGAGGGUCAUUGGAAACUGGAAAACUUGAGUGCAGAAGAGGAAAGUGGAAUUCCAUGUGUAGCGGUGAAAUGCGCAGAGAUAUGGAGGAACACCAGUGGCGAAGGCGACUUUCUGGUCUGUAACUGACGCUGAUGUGCGAAAGCGUGGGGAUCAAACAGGAUUAGAUAUCCUGGUAGUCCACGCCGUAAACGAUGAGUGCUAAGUGUUAGGGGGUUUCCGCCCCUU
rnacentral:rRNA from 1 species